UCGGAAAAUGUUUAAAUAAAGUACUAAUAGUCAUAAAAUCCACAUUUUUAAGGUGUGACAUGAAAAUAUGGGAUCAUUUUUACUAAUCGAUACUAAUCGAUAAAACACAUUUUGGUAGUAUCUUCUUUUCUACAUUCAGAAUCUAAAUAUGUAAAAAUACAUUCAGAUUUUGGAAGCAGCAGAACGAAAACAGUUCACUACGAGUUUGAUUAUACCCUAGUGACGGCGGUGGUAUAAUCGUUAUUUAUAACACUCUGUAUAUAAUAUAUUGGUGGGUCACGGUGUCUCACACGUAUAAAAUGGAACUCGUGAUUCGCAUAAACGUCCCGAACACUGUACGAGUCACCGGUCUCUCUCGGAACGGUUUCCGCUAUAGGAUUUAGUUAACCCUAAAUAGAAUAUAUAUAUAUAUAUUAUACGAGACGCAUAAAUGAAUCUCAAACUGUAGCAGCGAGAUCGCCCGUAAAAGAUUACACACUAGCUGCUAUUAUACGCACCGUAUACGUAUAUUAAAAAAAGAGAAAAAAAAAAAAACAUAAUUCAUUUACUCCAAGAAAAUAUAAUAUAGAGUGAGUGUGAAAUAUGAAGUGAAUAUAUAUAGAUGAGAGAGGAAGCGGAAGAAAAAUUAUACGGAUCUCGUCGGUAUACGUCCCCUAUGUCCAAUAUAAUACACAGGGCGCCUGGUUCGCAAUGUUUCGACACUAUUAUUCU